rnacentral:rRNA from 1 species
GUGGGAGAAAGCAUGCUUAGACAUGCAGUCGAACGGUAGCACACAGAGCUUGCUCUCGGGUGACGAGUGGCGGACGGGUGAGUAAUGUCUGGGAAACUGCCCGAUGGAGGGGGAUAACUACUGGAAACGGUAGCUAAUACCGCAUAAUGUCGCAAGACCAAAAAGGGGGACCUUCGGGCCUCUUGCCAUCGGAUGUGCCCAGAUGGGAUUAGCUUGUAGGUGGGGUAACGGCUCACCUAGGCGACGAUCCCUAGCUGGUCUGAGAGGAUGACCAGCCACACUGGAACUGAAACACGGUCCAGACUCCUACGGGAGGCAGCAGUGGGGAAUAUUGCACAAUGGGCGCAAGCCUGAUGCGGCCAUGUGCCGUGUGUUAAAAAAGGCUUUUCGGUUUUUAACUCUUUUUUCCAGGGAAGAAGGGGGUGGGGGUAAUAACCCCCCCUGUUUGACAUUUCCCGAAGAAAAAAAAACCCGGCUAUGUCCUUGCCACCAGCCGUGGUAAUACGGAAGGGUCCUUCGUUAAUCGUAAUUUCAGGCCAUAUGCUCCACCCAUGGGGUCUGCCAAGUCCAAUGUAAAUUAGUCGGGCUCAACCUGGGAACUGCAUCCGAAGCUGGAAGGAUAGAGUUUGGUAGAGAGGGGUAGAAUUCCAGGUGUAGCCGUGAAGUGCGUAGAGAUUUGGACGAGUACUAGUGGGGUAUGCAGCCCUGUGUGCUCAGACGCUGCUCAGGUGCAGCAUCAGUGGGAGCAAACAGGACUACAGUCCCUGCUAGUCCUCCGUCCUAUCUAUGCCCACUUCGACGGCUUGCGCCCCGUGAGUCGACGCCUCUUCUGAGCAUACUCGAGUCAGCCAGCUUCUGAGGCAGGCCCUAGGAGUCCAAGGCAUAUCAUUCUAACUGGACCCACCGCACCGGGUGGACAUUAUGGUAUAUCUCGAUACACCGUGAGCCUCCCUUAUAUCGCGUCUGCUCCAGAGACUAGAUAAACGGUGCUUUGCUGCCUUCGGGAACUCUGAAAACAGGUGCUGCAUGGCUGUCGUCACCUCCUGUUGUGAAAAGUUGGGGUUAAAUCCCCCAACCAAGCGCAACCCUUAUUCCUUUGUUGCCCAGCGGUCCGGCCGGGAACUGCACUCAUGCUUCAAAAGUCGAUCGUCAUUCAUGUGGGGAUGGCUGCGAGCCAUCAUGGCCCUUACGAGUAGGGCUACACACGUGCUACAAUGGCAUAUACAAAGAGAAGCGACCUCGCGAGAGCAAGCGGACCUCAUAAAGUAUGUCGUAGUCCGGAUUGGAGUCUGCAACUCGACUCCAUGAAGUCGGAAUCGCUAGUAAUCGUGGAUCAGAAUGCCACGGUGAAUACGUUCCCGGGCCUUGUACACACCGCCCGUCACACCAUGGGAGUGGGUUGCAAAAGAAGUAGGUAGCUUAACCUUCGGGAGGGCGCUUACCACUUUGUGAUUCAUGACUGGGGUGAAGUCGUA